AGGACUUUAUUUUUCAGGAAUCAUUUUUAUAUUUCAUUGCUAGAGAAGUUUAUCUGACCAUGUAGAACACCAGAACCAUGAGUAGGAACCAAAGCAUCCUCUCCUAAGCAUGAAGCCGUUUCUAGGUGUUGUUUUUGCAGAUACCAUUUACUACUGAUGCUCAUUCUUCCUUUGAAGAAUGAGAGGGAAGGAUGGAAUCUGAGUGGU